rnacentral:rRNA from 1 species
CCUACGGGAGGCAGCAGUGAGGAAUAUUGGUCAAUGGGCGCGAGCCUGAACCAGCCAAGUCGCGUGCAGGAUGACGGCUCUAUGGUUUGUAAACUUCUUUUAUACGGGAAUAAAGUGAGGCACGUGUUCCUUUUUGUAUGUACUUUAUGAAUAAGGAUCGGCUAACUCCGUGCCAGCAGCCGCGGUAAUACGGAGGAUGCGAGCGUUAUCCGGAUUUAUUGGGUUUAAAGGGUGCGUAGGUGGUUAGUUAAGUCAGUGGUGAAAGUUUGUGGCUCAACCUUAAAAUUGCCAUUGAGACUGGUUGGCUUGAGUAUAGUUGAGGUAGGCGGAAUGCGUGGUGUAGCGGUGAAAUGCUUAGAUAUCACGCAGAACUCCGAUUGCGAAGGCAGCUUACUAAACUACAACUGACAUUGAGGCACGAAAGCGUGGGGAUCAAACAGGAUUAGAUACCCCAGUAGUC